GACAGAGGUGCCAAGCGUUAGGCGGAAUCACUGGGCUUAAAGCGUGUGUAGGCGGGUCGUUAAGUACCUUGUGAAAUCCCCCGGCUCAACCGGGGAACGGCUGGGUAUACUGGCGAUCUUGAGCGACCUAGGGGCAGUCGGAACAAGUGGUGGAGCGGUGAAAUGCGUAGAUAUCACUUGGAACGCCAAUGGUGAAAACAGACUGCUGGGGGUUCGCUGACGCUGAGACACGAAAGCCAGGGGAGCAAACGGG
rnacentral:rRNA from 1 species